GGGAGUACGGUCCGCAAGAUUNAAACUCAAAGGAAUUGACGGGGGCCCGCACAAGCGGUGGAGCAUGUGGUNUAAUUCGACGCAACGCGCAGAACCUUACCAGCCCCUUGACAUCCCCGGUCGCGGAUUCCAGAGAUGGAGUCCUUCAGUUCGGCUGGACCGGAGACAGGUGCUGCAUGGCUGUCGUCAGCUCGUGUCGUGAGAUGUUGGGUUAAGUCCCGCAACGGGCGCAACCCCCGUCCUUAGUUGCUACCAUUUAGUUGAGCACUCUAAGGAGACUGCCCGGUGAUAAGCCGCGAGGAAGGUGGGGAUGACGUCAAGUCCUCAUGGCCCUUACGGGCUGGGCUACACACGUGCUACAAUGGCGGUGACAAUGGGACGCUAAGGGGCAACCCUUCGCAAAUCUCAAAAAGCCGUCUCAGUUCGGAUUGGGCUCUGCAACUCGAGCCCAUGAAGUUGGAAUCGCUAGUAAUCGUGGAUCAGCACGCCACGGUGAAUACGUUCCCGGGCCUUGUACACACCGCCCGUCACACCAUGGGAGUUGGUUUUACCUGAAGACGGUGCGCUAACCGCAAGGAGGCAGCCGGCCACGGUAGGGUCAGCGACUGGGGUGAAGUCGUAANCAAGGUACC
rnacentral:rRNA from 1 species